rnacentral:rRNA from 1 species
UACGUAGGGGGCAAGCGUUGUCCGGAAUCAUUGGGCGUAAAGAGCGUGUAGGCGGCCAGAUAAGUCCGCUGUGAAAUCUCGAGGCUCAACUUCGAGCUGUCGGUGGAAACUGUCUGGCUAGAGUCCGGAAGAGGAGAAUGGAAUUCCUGGUGUAGCGGUGAAAUGCGCAGAUAUCAGGAGGAACACCGGUGGCGAAGGCGGGUCUCUGGGCCGAAAUUGACGCUGAGGAGCGAAAGCGUGGGGAGCGAACAGG